rfam:Aedes aegypti strain Liverpool supercont1.20 genomic scaffold, whole genome shotgun sequence.
GGCUUGGUAGCUUAGUUGGUAAAGCGCUCGUCUAGCAUACAAGAGUCUUGGGUUCAAAUCCCAGCCGAGCAC